rnacentral:rRNA from 1 species
AUUGAACGCUGGCGGCAUGCCUUACACAUGCAAGUCGAACGGUAGCGGGCCUUCGGGUGCCGACGAGUGGCGAACGGGUGAGUAAUGUAUCGGAACGUACCUUUCAGUGGGGGAUAACGUAGCGAAAGUUACGCUAAUACCGCAUAUUCUGUGCGCAGGAAAGCAGGGGACCUUCGGGCCUUGCGCUGAUUGAGCGGCCUAAAUCAGAUUAGCUAGUUGGUGAGGUAAAGGCGCACCAAGGCAACGAUCUGUAGCGGGUCUGAGAGGAUGAUCCGCCACACUGGAACUGAGACACGGUCCAGACUCCUACGGGAGGCAGCAGUGGGGAAUUUUGGACAAUGGGGGCAACCCUGAUCCAGCCAUGCCGCGUGAGUGAAGAAGGCCUUCGGGUUGUAAAGCUCUUUCGGCCGGGAAGAAAUCGUAUCAGCUAAUACCUGGUGCGGAUGACGGUACCGGCAUAAGAAGCACCGGCUAACUACGUGCCAGCCGCCGCGGUAAAAC